AGAGUUUGAUCAUGGCUCAGAAUCAACGCUGGCGGCGUGCCUAACACAUGCAAGUCGAACGCGAAAGCCCCGCAAGGGGUAAGUAGAGUGGCAAACGGGUGAGUAACACGUGGGUGACCUGCCUUCGAGUGGGGGAUAACGUCCCGAAAGGGACGCUAAUACCGCAUGACAUCCUGCCUUUGAAGAGGUGGAGAUCAAAGUUGGGGAUCGCAAGACCCAGCGCUUGAAGAGGGGCCCGCGCCUGAUUAGCUAGUUGGUGAGGUAAUGGCUCACCAAGGCGACGAUCAGUAGCCGGCCUGAGAGGGCGGACGGCCACACUGGGACUGAGACACGGCCCAGACUCCUACGGGAGGCAGCAGUGGGGAAUUGUUCGCAAUGGGCGCAAGCCUGACGACGCAACGCCGCGUGGAGGAUGAAGACCUUCGGGUCGUAAACUCCUUUCGAUCGAGACGAACGGCCUUCGGGUGAACAAUCCGGAGGAGUGACGGUACCGAGAGAAGAAGCCCCGGCUAACUCCGUGCCAGCCGCCGCGGUAAUAC
rnacentral:rRNA from 1 species